UCAGUGUAGGGGCGGGAGGGCGGUGGGUUACGUAGGGUGCGGGCGUGGGCCGGAAUUACUGGGCGUAAAGGGGUCGUAGGGGGUUUGUGGGGUCGGCUGUGAAAUUCCGGGGCUUAACUCCGGGCGUGCAGGCGAUACGGGCAUAACUUGAGUACUGUAGGGAGACUGGAAUUCCUGGUGUAGCGGUGAAAUGCGCAGAUAUCAGGAGGAACACCGGUGGCGAAGGCGGGUCUCUGGGCAGUAACUGACGCUGAGGAGCGAAAGCAUGGGGAGCGAACAGGAUUAGAUACCCUGGUAGUC
rnacentral:rRNA from 1 species